rnacentral:misc_RNA from 1 species
GAUACUGUUUCUGGGUAUGAUCUCCAACCUCAGCUGAAUGCUCUUGCUUUAGGGUUUUCAUCAGGAAUCAUGACAAGUGAAGCUAAUGUCUUUAACCCCGCUAAGCAAAUCCAAGAUGUGGUUACUUCAAGUUCACUGCCUCCAAAUUAUUCCAUCUUUGGUUCCUCUUCUUCCACCACAACUUCUCCAACUAUGGCUACUUUGCUUGCCUCUAGCCUUCACCAACAAAAGUUCAGUAUCAAAGAUAUUAGAGCUCCUAACCACUUUCAGACUUUAACACCUUUCGAGGACCUGCAAAUGAGUGGCAAUUUUGAAUCCGGGAUCGCUAUGAAAGAAGUGAAAAUUGAACAAGACAAAAGCAGGUUGGACUGGAAUAUUCCAUGCCAGAACCAGAUAGAGCAAAUUGGCUUCUCAUCAUCAGAUCCCUCGAUUUAUUGGAACGCAGCCACAAGCACUGUCGGUGCAUGGCAUGAUCCAUCGAAUAUUGGGUCCUCCGUCACUUCUCUGAUCUAGCACAAUCAACCGCUAUUUCUUUCAAUUCAUCUCUCUCUCUCUCUCUCUCUCUCUUGCUUGCGGACAUGGUCACCUUACAAUAAUCUUGGUCUCUUCAGCUUAGGUUUUCGUUUCUUGAUUACUUCUGUUUGAAGUGGAGUUUAUGGAGUGGGAUUGACAUAUCAGAAAAGGCCUAAAAAAGGGUAAAGUUCGGUAUUAAACAAAUUAAAGAUGAGAGGAGCUUGGAUCGGAGAGAUCAUGUCAGCUGCAAGAAAUCGGCCUACUAGUUUUAGUUUCAAGGUUGAAUAAAUUCCUAUUUGCGCUGAGAGGAACCUCGGAUC